rnacentral:rRNA from 1 species
UACGGAGGGUGCAAGCGUUAUUCGGAUUUACUGGGCGUAAAGGGUGCGUAGGUGGGCAGGUAAGUCAGUGGUGAAAUCUCCGGGCUUAACCCGGAAACUGCCGUUGAUACUAUCUGUCUUGAAUGUAGUAGAGGUGAGCGGAAUAUGUCAUGUAGCGGUGAAAUGCUUAGAUAUGACAUAGAACACCGAUUGCGAAGGCAGCUCGCUGGGCUAUUAUUGACACUGAGGCACGAAAGCGUGGGGAUCAAACAGG